UACGGGGGGGGGCAAGCGUUGUUCGGAAUUACUGGGCGUAAAGGGCGCGUAGGCGCCUUCUAAGUCGGACGUGAAAUCCCUCGGCUUAACCGAGGAACUGCGUCUGAUACUGGAAGGCUUGAAUCCGGGAGAGGGAUGUGGAAUUCCAGGUGUAGCGGUGAAAUGCGUAGAUAUCUGGAGGAACACCGGUGGCGAAGGCGGCAUCCUGGACCGGCAUUGACGCUGAGGCGCGAAAGCUAGGGGAGCAAACGGGG
rnacentral:rRNA from 1 species